CGCAAGGGAGGCAAGCGCCGAAGGUGAACUCCGCGAUUGGGACUAAGUCGUAACAAGGUAGCCGUAGGGGAACCUGCGGCUGGAUCACCUCCUUU
rnacentral:rRNA from 1 species